UCCUCCGUGGCGCAAUUGGCUAGCGCGUCUGACUGUUAAACUAGUCUUGGUUCGGCGAUCAGGAGGUUCGUGGUUCGAGCCCACGCGGGGGAG